CCCUAACCCUUUCCUCUUCGACGCCGCAUGCCCCUCUUCUUCCCUGCCGACGCUGUGAUCUUCCCGACGCCACUCCUCUUCCUCUCCUCUCUGCACCGAGCCACCGGCCAUCUUCUCUUCAGCCUUUCUACUUUGCUGAGCACUGCGCCGCCGACGCAGAUCUUGUUUUCUUCCACGGCUGUCCACCGAAUCUAGGAGAGGAGACCUAGUUCAGAUUUGUCUCCACCGGAUCGCCAGCGACGCCAUAUCCUCACAGCGAUGCCCCAUCCUCACUGCCUGCCUCCCCUGUGCUCUAGCGCCGGCACUGAUUGCCUUCUUCUGCUGCGAUUUGGGAGCACAACAGCCGUGCCCUAGCGCCUGUGCCGUAGCCGCUUAGCACCGCUCGACACCUCCUGGCACAGCCGAGCCCUCUCCCGAUCUCCCAUACUUCGUGCCCUAGCCCCGGUUUGGCAUCGCUGACCUUCAGAUCCCUACCUUCAAUCGCCAACCUAAUUUCAAGAUUGGUGCUAGACUUGAUCCUUGGUCCGACAGGAAGUUUCUGAUCAAGUAGAUUUAUCCGGCAAUGUGACCGAGAGAUUGUUAGUUGUGGCAAUUCUUAUGGGGUCGAGGAUUUCUGUUAGAGUUCGUACAAGUCAUCUUUUCCGGCAGCAACCUUCUACAGCAGCGUAUCAUCAGCUGAGGAUUUAAAGGAGGUGCAGCGGGUUUACUUUGGUUUUUGGCUGAGUUUCCAGCAGCAUACAGUUUCAUCUAUUCAAUUGUGGGUCAACAGAAAUUCAUCUGGUUUUAGGAUGUUGAUUCGGGACGAGCACUUCGACAUAGAGGUUGAUUAGCUCGAUCUACAUUGGAGG